GUUGCAUCUAACGUUUAUUCAAUAACAAUCUUAAGGGGAAAUUAAAACAUCUUAGUCCUCAUCCUGGCCAAUGAUUUCAGGCAACGCAGCUGCUGUUUUGCUUAGGGACGCAUUUUGGAGUCCGAUCUGCACUUUACGGUCUUUUGUGCUUUAAUACUUUGAGAGUUUACGAAGCUGUAAAGACUGAGUAUUUUCUCCGCAUUGACUAUCUACCAGUUGAGGUUCUGGAUUGUUUUUUUCUUCUAACCGUAAUUGUUUGUUUUGUUUGUUUGGUUAUAUUGGUCUUUUUUUUGGUAUUGAUUUGUUUACCCUGCAUUUUCUUUUGUAAGCAUAUUGUAUGCUGCAAGGGUUAUUUCUUUUUGAGUAUUUAUUGAUUUUGAUUUACGUUUUGUGUGUGGUGUUCUCUGGAUGCUCGAGUGCCAGAGUCGCAACAAAGUGUUUAUAAGUUUCUUUUUUUGCAUUUUCAUGUUUUCAUUUCUAUAAUUUUGUUGAAUUUCUUCUUUAAUGUUAUUUUCUGUUUCUCCAGGGCCAGUGAGGAUCGGGUGGAACUGGGGAGGCUAGCUGCUGUCAUUUUGCAGUGUCACAGUGUGCGGUGUGUGUGGAUACAACUUCCCAUUGGUGUGUGUGAUGGUUGCUUUGGUGUGAAUUUAGGUGGGUUUUUGGAUAACCAUUCUGAGUUGCAGCCGGCCUGCCUGGUUCCCACUAAUCCUGGCCCUGGGAAUUACCUCCCUUAUUGUGGAAAUGGUUUGUGUGAGAGUUUUAAAUCUAUGCGUGUGUUUUAUAAUAAAAAUCCCAAUCUUUUGUAUUCUCGCCCCCGUCUCCCCUACUUUGCCUUCAUUUGGUGAAACUUACCUGUGUCCUUUAAUGGGAAUAAAUUCUCUGGUUUCCCACCAGGGUGGCGUAGUCGGAUAAAUUCACUGAUUAACCUUUCCUUUCAUGUGAUACCGCCACAGUAUCAU